rnacentral:sRNA from 10 species
AGGCAUUUAGGAAGUGCUUAGCUGGUUAAGCUUAGAUUAUUUGAAGCUAACUUAAUCGUCAUGAGAGUUUGCUGGUAGGGAUACAGGCA